CUUCGAGUGGGGGAUAACGUCCCGAAAGGGACGCUAAUACCGCAUAACAUCCUGCCUUUGAACAGGCGGUGAUCAAAGCCGGGGACCGUAAGGCCCGGCGCUUGAUGAGGGGCCCGCGUCUGAUUAGCUAGUUGGUGAGGUAAUGGCCCACCAAGGCGACGAUCAGUAUCCGGCCUGAGAGGGCGGACGGACACACUGGGACUGAGACACGGCCCAGACUCCUACGGGAGGCAGCAGUGGGGAAUUGUUCACAAUGGGCGCAAGCCUGAUGACGCAACGCCGCGUGGAGGAUGAAGGUCUUCGGAUUGUAAACUCCUGUUGCCCGGGACGAAAAGCUCUGACCUAACACGUCGGAGUCUGACGGUACCGGGUGAGGAAGCCCCGGCUAACUCUGUGCCAGCAGCCGCGGUAAUACAGAGGGGGCAAGCGUUGUUCGGAAUUACUGGGCGUAAAGGGCGCGUAGGCGGCCUUCUAAGUCGAACGUGAAAUCCCCGGGCUCAACCCGGGAACUGCGUCCGAUACUGGAAGGCUUGAAUCCGGGAGAGGGAUGUGGAAUUCCAGGUGUAGCGGUGAAAUGCGUAGAUAUCUGGAGGAACACCGGUGGCGAAGGCGACAUCCUGGACCGGUAUUGACGCUNAGGCGCGAAAGCCAGGGGAGCAAACGGGAUUAGAUACCCCGGUAGUCCUGGCCCUAAACGAUGAAUGCUUGGUGUGGCGGGUAUCGAUCCUGCCGUGCC
rnacentral:rRNA from 1 species